UACGUAGGUGGCAAGCGUUGUCCGGAUUUACUGGGCGUAAAGGGCGUGCAGGCGGUCUGUUAAGUGCAGGGUGAAAGCUCCCGGCUCAACUGGGAGCGGUCCUUGCAUACUGGCGGACUUGAGGGGGGUAGAGGAAAGUGGAAUUCCCGGUGUAGUGGUGAUAUGCGUAGAUAUCGGGAGGAACACCGGUGGCGAAGGCGGCUUUCUGGGCCCUACCUGACGCUGAGACGCGAAAGCGUGGGGAGCGAACCGG
rnacentral:rRNA from 1 species